AUGCUGUGAUGACAUCCAAAUGGUUUCGCUACUGGCUGAGUUUCAGAGAUGACACCUUCUCUUGGCUGUCUGAGCAU
rnacentral:snoRNA from 13 species